rnacentral:tRNA from 1 species
GCUCCAGUAGCUCAGGUGGAUAGAGCGCAGGAUUCCUAAUCCUGGUGCCGCAGGUUCGAAUCCUGCCUGGAGCA